rnacentral:rRNA from 1 species
UACGAAGGGGGCUAGCGUUGUUCGGAUUUACUGGGCGUAAAGGGCGCGUAGGCGGAUUUUUAAGUCGGGGGUGAAAUCCCGGAGCUCAACUCCGGAACUGCCUUCGAUACUGAAAGUCUGGAGCACGGUAGAGGUGAGUGGAAUUCCGAGUGUAGAGGUGAAAUUCGUAGAGAUUCGGAGGAACACCAGUGGCGAAGGCGGCUCACUGGACCGUUUCUGACGAUGAGGCGCGAAAGAGUGGGGAGCAAACAGG